rnacentral:rRNA from 1 species
GACGAACGCUGGCGGCGUGCUUAACACAUGCAAGUCGAACGGAAAGGCCCUGCUUUUGUGGGGUGCUCGAGUGGCGAACGGGUGAGUAACACGUGAGUAACCUGCCCUUGACUUUGGGAUAACUUCAGGAAACUGGGGCUAAUACCGGAUAGGAGCUCCUGCUGCAUGGUGGGGGUUGGAAAGUUUCGGCGGUUGGGGAUGGACUCGCGGCUUAUCAGCUUGUUGGUGGGGUAGUGGCUUACCAAGGCUUUGACGGGUAGCCGGCCUGAGAGGGUGACCAGCGACAUUGGUACUGAGAUACGGCCCAGACUCCAACGGGAGGCAGAAGUGGGGAGUAUUGCACAAUGGGCGGAAGCCUGAUGCAGCAACGCCGCGUGCGGGAUGACGGCCUUCGGGUUGUAAACCGCUUUCGCCUGUGACGAAGCGUGAGUGACGGUAAUGGGUAAAGAAGCACCGGCUAACUACGUG